rnacentral:lncRNA from 1 species
AACUUCGUGUUGCGUAUACGCAACACUGGGAAGAAAUGGUGGGUUAAGUAUGCAACAUCGGUGCAUCGUCAUCAGUGGGAUAUACAUUAGUGAUUGAUUAGGAUUUUUUUUAUUAAACAUCAGUGAUUGAUUAAGAAUAUAUACAUACAUUAAGCACGCAACAUCAGUGCAUCGUCAUCAUCAGUGGGAUACAUUAGUGAUUGAUUAGGAUAUUUUUUGAUUAAACAUCAGUGAUUGAUUAAGAAUUUACGAAUUUGCGCAGAAAGAAGCUUCGGACAUUCCUGCUAUAGAAAAUCUCAAGGACUUCACACCGCCGCGAAAAAAGAAAAAAGCAUCGGUUGUGGUCUAUGCAUUGCCGGAAAA